CGUACACUCCUGCGGGAGGCAGCAGUGGGGAAUAUUGCACAAUGGGCGCAAGCCUGAUGCAGCCAUGCCGCGUGUAUGAAGAAGGCCUUCGGGUUGUAAAGUACUUUCAGCGGGGAGGAAGGCGAUAAGGUUAAUAACCUUGUUGAUUGACGUUACCCGCAGAAGAAGCACCGGCUAACUCCGUGCCAGCAGCCGCGGUAAUACGGAGGGUGCAAGCGUUAAUCGGAAUUACUGGGCGUAAAGCGCACGCAGGCGGUCUGUCAAGUCGGAUGUGAAAUCCCCGGGCUCAACCUGGGAACUGCAUUCGAAACUGGCAGGCUAGAGUCUUGUAGAGGGGGGUAGAAUUCCAGGUGUAGCGGUGAAAUGCGUAGAGAUCUGGAGGAAUACCGGUGGCGAAGGCGGCCCCCUGGACAAAGACUGACGCUCAGGUGCGAAAGCGUGGGGAGCAAACAGGAUUAGAAACCCCUGUAGUCCCAUGA
rnacentral:rRNA from 1 species